rnacentral:rRNA from 1 species
GACGAACGCUGGCGGCGUGCUUAACACAUGCAAGUCGAACGGAAAGGCCCUGCUUUUGUGGGGUGCUCGAGUGGCGAACGGGUGAGUAACACGUGAGUAACCUGCCCUUGACUUUGGGAUAACUUCAGGAAACUGGGGCUAAUACCGGAUAGGAGCUCCUGCUGCAUGGUGGGGGUUGGAAAGUUUCGGCGGUUGGGGCUGGACUCGCGGCUUAUCAGCUUGUUGGUGGGGUAGUGGCUUACCAAGGCUUUGACGGGUAGCCUGCCUGAGGGGGUGACCGGCCACAUUGGGACUGAGAUACGGCCCAGCCUCCUACGGGAGGCAGCGGUGGGGAAUAUUGCACAAUGGGCGGAAGCCUGAUGCAGCAACGCCGCGUGCGGGAUGACGGCCUUCGGGUUGUAAACCGCUUUCGCCUGUGACGAAGCGUGAGUGACGGUAAUGGGUAAAGAAGCACCGGCUAACUACGUG